AAGAUGAUGAUAUCCACUGAAGUCUGCCAUAAAGUUGCUAAUGUGUCUGUCUGGCUCAUGCAAUGUCACUUUUCAUCUCUAAUUCCUGUGAGGCUGAUUCAAUACAGGAAAAAUAAAGAGAGAGACAGACAGACAGACACACACACACACGUAUGAGAGUUCUGCAUGAACUGCAGUAGCAUUACAGUAAAGAAACCUAAGGAGGGUAGAAGCAUCAUCUGUCAUGUAUAGCCACUCUGAAACUAUGUGAUAUUAAAGCACCCAGAGGGAAAAAAAAAUCUUGAAAGCUGAUAAUCCCUGUGCAUGGAUGGUUGCAGAGAGGCCAUCUUAAUCCCAAAAUAUUGAUGAUGCUGUUUCUGGUGCUGGCUCGUCAUCUGCUCUUCUUCAUGCUAGAUGUGAUCAAAUAUGAACUUUAAAGCCCUUCUUGCAGAUGAAACUUAUUUUGGUUUGAAGAUAUUUUAUUUUCAGGCAAAUGUUUAAUUCCUUUUUCUUGCGCAAACAUGUUUUCAGUGGCAUCGUAACUAACAUAUAGUAGCAAACACCCAUGGCUGGCCAAGACCUCCAUAUUCUUUCUUGGAAGAUUCUGAUGGACCCAUGAUUUUAAGAAGACUUACACAGCCUUUAAUUGUUGGACUUUUUUGAUUCAUGGUUCUUCAGUGCAGCAGUAACCCCUCCUGCUACUUUGACAGUUUCCUUGCCUUGUGCUCUACUGACAGACAAGACCAGCAAGAUUUUAAUUUUGGCUGUUACACAGGAAGGGGAAGAAGCCUGGCUGAAAACGGUCUAAAGGGAUUAAAGAGGCCGGUGCAAGGCUUGAUGAUGAUAAAUCCUUAGCCAUGUUUCUCCUUUCUUUAAAAAGUUAAAUAAGGAUGGUGAAGUUUAUAUUGUAGAGGAAAGCCUGUGCUAAGCCUAGCCUGAUAGCAACCCAUACUUGUUUCUCUUUGUAUGGUGAAAGUCCUGCUGAAUGCAGCUGCUGAACCAAACUGGGACAGAAUAGAAAAACAUUUAUCUCAAUUUAAGGGAAAACAAACUUACCUUCUAAGAACAAUGGCACAAUUUCUCUUGGAAAAUAUAUUUUUAUUUUUGCAGUUUUCAGUACCAAUAAAACAGAUUAUUUAAAA